rnacentral:rRNA from 1 species
UACAGAGGGUGCGAGCGUUGUCCGGAAUCACUGGGCGUAAAGGGCGCGUAGGUGGCGCUGCAAGUCGGUGGUGAAAGCUCGCCGCUUAACGGCGAGUCGGCCAUCGAAACUGCAGGGCUGGAGCACUGUAGGGGCAGAUGGAAUUCCGGGUGUAGCGGUGGAAUGCGUAGAGAUCCGGAAGAACACCAGUGGCGAAGGCGGUCUGCUGGGCAGUUGCUGACGCUGAGGCGCGAAAGCGUGGGGAGCAAACGGG